rnacentral:rRNA from 1 species
UCGGGAAUAUUGGGCAAUGGAGGCAACUCUGACCCAGCAACGCCGCGUGAAGGAAUAGAAGGUCUUCGGAUUGUAAACUUCUGUCGCGAGGGACGAAGAAUGACGGUACCUCGUAAGAAAGCCCCGGCUAACUACGUGCCAGCAGCCGCGGUAAUACGUAGGGGGCAAGCGUUGUCCGGAAUGACUGGGCGUAAAGGGAGUGUAGGUGGCAUAAUAAGUUAUAUGUGAAAGCCCGCGGCUUAACUGCGGAACUGCAUAUAAAACUGUUAAGCUUGAGUGCAGGAGAGGUAAGCGGAAUUCCUAGUGUAGCGGUGGAAUGCGUAGAUAUUAGGAAGAACACCAGAGGCGAAGGCGGCUUACUGGACUGUAACUGACACUGAGGCUCGAAAGCGUGGGGAGCAAACAGGAUUAGAUACCCUGGUAGU